rnacentral:sRNA from 1 species
GCAAAAAGACGGCUAAAAGCGGCUUUGCCGCCAUUUCGGACCGAGCAACGUGCUGUGGAACCCUGCUAUUCGUUCUCGGUGCGGGUCGGGCCGAAGACCCUUUC